rnacentral:lncRNA from 1 species
AUUGUUAUGUACAGGGAUGUAUUAUGAUAACCAACUAAACAUCUUUCUAACACAUACCAAAAGGACCAUAUGGUCUUUAACUAUUAACAAAGCGUGUACCAUGUUGUAUUUAUAAACAUUGCAUAAACGUAAAAAUGUGAAUUCAACAUUUGUAUUGCUUGUUUUAUGCUUAAAACAAAAAAACACAUUAGUAGAGGUAUCAACAAAAAACAAAAUAAUCAUGUACUUAGUUUUGACAAGCACAUAAAGAAUGUGAUGAGAUAAGACAAGUGAAUGAGCAAUAAACCUACAUAUUACUAGUGACAGUCACAUACAGUAACGUAACAAUACAACACAACUAACAAAAUGACAAAAGACAAAGAGUGCAGAAAAUCAAAUAAAGAAGAUCAAAUCUAAAUUUAACUCAUAAAAAUCAUGCGGAAGGAAAAGUUAUCAUAUAACAGUUACAUAUCAUUGUUGUGAUUACUGGAUUUUCUUUUUUUCUAUGUGAACUGGAAAAACGAAUAUUUAACAUUUGUAUACUAAAAAGAAGUGAUUGACACUUGAUUAUUAAUGAUUAUACUGUACUAAUGGCUUUGUAUAUAUUAAAUUGCAAUUGUAUAUAAAUUAAAUUGCAAUUGUGUACUAUGUUGAAAAUUUGGAAAAAUGUAACUGAACGUAAACAACAUAUGCAUACCUUUAUUUUGUGUCUUUAAGGGGUCAUGUCAUUUCAGCAUUUUACCACAACACUGAAAUUAAACAAUUGUCGAACUCAAAAACAUUUCUUGUAUAAUUUCAAUAUCAUGAUAUCUUUUCGAAAAUUCAAUUCUGAUUUUAGUAACACUUAGAAUUGUACAAUUUUUGUUACAAAUUCUAAUAUUCAAAUGAGUACUAGACCUAGACAUUAUUUAGAAUUGUAUUGUAGUUGAAUCGUAUGCUGAUCUAAGAAACAAACUGUUAUACAUACUCUAAACCUAUUUUUUUUCGCGAGCGAUUUAUUUUAUUAAUUCGCGAGUAGAAAAAUAACGCAAAUUUAAAUCGUCGCUAAUAUGUAUAACUUGGAUCUUUCCUUAUUUAACUACCGCAAGUAAUAGAAACUCGCGAAAUUAAAUCGCCGCGAAGUGGAUUAGUGAUAUAAACGCGAAAUAAAGUAUCCGCGAAAAUAAUUGGUUAACAGUAACAAAAUGAAACAAAACCUUUAUCGCGAAAAUAACAUUUUUCAUAAGCUGAUAAAUGAUUACGGCAACAUGAGCAAAGGUGAUUAUUUUUUAAUUUGAGUGUUAAAAUAUAUCAGUGAUGAAGUAGGCUGUACCAGAUCAAUGUCACGAAGCAAGAUCAAGUGAAUAUAUUCGUUUUUUUUUUACAUAUACCAAAAAAAAUUGUUCAUAUUAAAGAAAACAAUCAGUUGAAAUCGACGUAAAGUUGUAUAGAUGUUACAAACAAGAACCAUUUAGGAGGGUUUGACUAUCAUUUAAAUCAUCAAGAAAGUGUAGGCAAAAAAGUGAAAAUACACAUGUCUCACUGUUUUAUAGCCACAAAUCAUGCAUUUAGUUGUUUUAGAAUUCACUGUAAUUUUG